AUCAGGAAUCACCUGGAACCAUCCUCCUCUUCUGCCUUACAUCUGAGGCCAGAUCUGAGUGGCAGUCUUACUUAAGCCCAGUGGAAGCAUGCUGAUCUUUUAGUAGAUUAUGUGAUUGUUUUUCUUUUGAGCAUAAUUUUGUUUUCAUGCUCAUUUUGUGUUUAUGGUAAGGGGUUCAGUUACUCAGAAGCCAUGAUACUUGUUAGGGUUGGAUCUGAGGUGUCCCCUAAAGCUCCUGUUCCUGCAGGAGUCCUCAGAGGGGGAGUGAAUGGACUGUGAGGCUGCAGCCUAGUCGGUCCACCCUAGUUUGAAUGGACUGGCUGGUGGUAACUGGGCAGCUGGGAUGUGGCUGGGGGAGGCAGGUCCCCUGCAAGGGAGCAUCUGCCCUGGGCCCUUCCCCUCUCCCUGCUUCCUGACCCCACCAUGAGCUGAGCAGCUUUCCUCUGCCCCUCCCCUUACAUCAGGCCCGGAGCAGUGGAGUGGCCGUCCAUGGACCGAGCCCCAGAUAAACCUUCCUUCCUCCAAGUUGUUCUUGUGAGGUAUUUUGG
rnacentral:lncRNA from 1 species